rnacentral:lncRNA from 1 species
AUGAUAUUACAAGAUGGUGGAUUUGUGAUGAAGAUAAUGAUGGUGAUGAAGAUGACUUGGUUCUACUCAUGAAGAUGAUGAUGGAAGUAAAACUUAAACAAAAAUUAUAAAGAGAGUUAAUAAGCAAGGGUAUUUUGGUCAUUUAACAUGGACUUAACUGGGAAAUUUAACUGAUGUUAGGGCUGGGGACCAACCGAGUGCAUUUUUGACAAGUUUUAGGAUCACACGUGUAAUUAGUAAACCACUGCAAUUUUUAAAAACCACAGGGACCAACCAAGCAUUUAACUCUAUAAGUUAUAACAUUCAUCAAAGGGCUUUAUGGACUAGAGAUGGUUAAUGUAAUGAAAUAAUGAUCAAGUCCAAAAUUUCAUACGAAAGAUGCAGAAUAUUCUAGAAACGAAAUGUCAAAUUAUUAAAUUAAAUACAAAAAAACGUAUAUUGAUGUUGUAAGUUAUGUACUUAAUUAUGUUUACUAUUUCACCCCAGAUACGCUAAAUAUAAUAAUAACCAUAAUAUAUAAUCAUAUAUAUAAUCAGUUAAAUAAAAACUCAAUGAACAGAAGAGUGUAGAACAUCAAAAAGUACAAAAAAACAUUAAAAAAUCUACAAUUUAUUAUUUAUUAUUAUUUAUUACAAAUGAGUAAUUUCAACUCAAUUUGAGUUCAUGAUCUUUCAAGACGAAACUUUCUAACAAAAUCCAUUCGGAAUCAAAGCAUCAUGAAUCAAACUAGUAAAACCUAAACAAAAACUCGAUGAAUAUCAUCAUCAUCAAACCUAAAUUCCUUUUAAAUUCAAAAAACAUAACCAAUAAAUGAACAGAAACAUACAUGGUUUGAUGCAAUAAACUAAUCUAUACAAUCAUCGUUAUGCUAUUUCACUCAAA